ACAAACAGACUUGAGAACUUGUAAAUGUUUACUUUAUUUCUCUGGAUUAUUCUUUAAUAAUUGAAUAAAUUGUUUCGUUCAAAAAAUAAGAGGCAUGUUUGUGUAGCUUGUGUUUGAUUGUCGAUUUUGACUUUUAUUUGAUUGAAAUUAUCGUGAACUUUUGAAUUUGACAAUUCAAUGCAGAAAGUGCAGUAAACUGUAAAGUUUAAGUAAUUCUUAAGGAUUUUUUGGAUCGAUUCUGAAAGAUAGUGAAGUGGAGAACCAGAUUAACGAGAUUACGUCAUAUCUGGAUGCAAGAAAGGUUUAUGGCUCAAGCCAAGAGGAAGAGCAUACCCUCCGGACAUUUAUUGGUGGACUUUUAGAGCAGAGUACCAAUGAAUUACUCCCAAACUCGUCACGUGGUUCCGAACUGCCGUGUAAUACUACCACAAAUGACCACCGCAAAGACAGCUGCUUUGAAGCAGAUAGUGAAGUGGAGAACCAGAUUAACGAGAUUACGUCAUAUCUGGAUGCAAGUAAGGUUUAUGGCUCAAGCCAAGAGGAAGAGCAUACCCUCCGGACAUUUAUUGGUGGACUUUUAGAGCAGAGUACCAAUGAAUUACUCCCAAACUCGUCACGUGAUUCCGAACUGCCGUGUAAUACUACCACAAAUGACCACCGCAAAGACAGCUGCUUCGAAGCAGGUAAAUGACAUUAAUUAUUA